UGGUGAGCGGAAUAGGACACAUUUUGAAACCUGAUUCAGAGUGCAUUCCCGGUCACCCACAUCCUGAAGACGUGUCAGGAAAACCGCAAGCUUAAGAAUCAACUCAAGCAUUUCUGUCAUGCUUGCUGUCCUACUCCCUGCAAGUUACAUCCCAGCUGAAGCGUGACCCCCAGAUCACCACAGGACUCUGGGGCCACGGUGUGUCCGCUAUGACCCUGCUGGCUAAAGGACACAGUUGCUAGUCCACCCGGAAAUGCCAGUGAUAUUCUUGAUAUCCUGACCAUGUGAAUAAUGGGAGCGUGUUCUCUUCUUGAUCAUGUCUCAACUAUUCUUGAAAAGACAAGCACCAACACCUUCCAGAAAUCCUGAGAAAUCACCAGGCAACCAUCCAAGACACAGACGGCAGCAGAGGCCAACUUAACCAUCCACACAGAAUGAAUCUAAAUAUCACAUGAAACUUUCUCUGCAAAUUAAGCGUUCUGAGAAGUCAAGCAACCACUGUCUUCUCCUUUCAUCUUCCGUUUCCUGAUCUUACCAGUGCAUCGGGUCAGGUGGUCAUAUAUG